UGGAGGCUAGUGAGGAGGAUAAAAACCCAGGUGAGAAUCAAGGUUUGAGCAUGUCAGCUUACUUACUUCUCGUGUUGAAGCAAUGGAUAAGGAAUAUCCCUGCCAUUAAUCAUUAUAGUGCUAAGUUGGGGGAUCUAGCUUCUCCUGGAGGGAGCUCUAUAAGUCGCCUAUCUGCUCACUACACUGAAGCUUUGGCUCUUCGGGUUGCCAGGGCUUUGGCCUCAUACUUUUCAUACUACUCCUCCUCGAGAUCCUGAUCGGCUGGAAGAUGAUUCGGGUACUGCAUUGAGGCUUUUGAACCAGAGUUUAGUAAUUAUGGGAGAGCAAGAAGCCCAGAACAACUCCCCCAUCUUGGAGAUAAGAGUUUCCAAUCCGUGGAAGUACUACUCUGCCAUAUUUGAUCCAACUGAUUCUUCCCUCCCAUUAGACAGCCCAGUUAGGAUGAAGAUAGAGGAAAAUAUUGUUGCUUGUGAAGGAAGUGACCGAUAUGAAAGGCACGAUGAGUGUUUUGAUAACUGAAGGAGGAUGAUGGAGCAAGGAGGGUUUCAAUGCAUGGGGAUUAGCCGCUUCAGAGACAAAUGCUGUUGAAGAUGUACUCUUGUGAGCAUUAUGGUGUUAAGAAGCAAGGGCAGGAUGGAGCGGCACUUACUCUAAGCUGGAUGGAUCAGCCUCUUUACACAGUCUCAGCCUGGGCGCCUGUUGAUUUUGCCGGCAGUUCCUCUACUUUUUCUCCGCCAAGUUGAUUGCUGUGGUUUUCAUUUUUUUCAUAUAUAAAUCAGUAGCAUACAGAGAAAGGGACACAAAACUCUUUGUAGGUAGAGAAUUCUGUCAUUAUAAUCGUUCUUUCAUUCUUUUGUUGCAGAUAAGAUUUUUCAACUCCAAUAGUGCAAGAAUAAUUUGUAUGAAUACUGUAGCUUCGUACUGAUUUCAGAUCUUCGCAAUCGCAGGCCAGAUUUCUAGAUUUCAGUUUGUAUUAUUUGGUGUCAAUUUGUGUUUAUUCUUUAUGUAAGAUGAUAUUCUUUCUAGUGUUGUCAAUCCAGUUCUCUUUUUUUUCAUU